rnacentral:tRNA from 1 species
CGGGCAGUAGCACGGCUGGCAGUGCCACAUUCUUAUAAAAUGUCGGUCGUGGGUUCAAAUCCCACCUGCCCGA